UCAAAUGUGCAGGAAAUAAUUAUUCUACGAUGUCUUUGCCAGUCUUUUGAGCCUGAAUCACUGUUGAGACCUUAUUAAACAAUGUAAUGGCUUGGCUCAGAAAAUAAUUUUAUGACGUCUUUUAACUCAAGUUUCUUAGUUUUUACAGUUCAAGUACUUUUCAGACUACUCUGGUUCUCUUCCAAAUUUAUAUGUGAGAUUCUUGAUAGGAGAGAAUUGUAAAUACAAUAAGGAACAUCAGCCUUAGCAUAUUUGUUAAUGUUUAUUUGGCCCUCUGGGAAAUAGGCCAGUAAAUUUUUAUUGUUUACUUUGAGGGGUUAUUUUAGUGAAAGUGACCCAAAUCAAAUCAAAACAUUUAAAUACCUACCCCUUGGGUUAUGGAUGAAGUGCAUAUGGAAACCACCCAAGCUUUAGGUGCUGCUAUUAGUGACAGAAAUAGUAACUGCUAACACAUUGUUUAUUCUUUGCCAGAAACUUUUAUAUUUGAAAAUACAUUCAAGGAGUUUCCUAGUGGCCUAGCAGUUAAGGACCCAGUGUUGUCACUGCUGUGGCACACGUUAGACCCCUGUGGCCAAAAAUAAAAUCCAUUCAAUUCUUGUAACCACUUUAUGAGGGAGAUGUAUCAUUAUUCCCAUACUAUAAGGUAAGGAAACGGAGUCACAGGGUUAAAAUAGCAUACCUAAUGCCGCAUAACUAGUAAGGGGAGGAGUCAGGACUCAAGCUCUGGUAAUUUGAUUGCAGAACUCACACUCAGUAAUUACAUCUACAACCUCUGUCCUAUAGUUAACAAGAGGUAGAGGAGACAAAAUUAAAUAUUAAGCCCUAAAAUGUUCAAAAUGAUAGUGAUACCUUCCAAAGAAAGUCUUAAAGUUAGGUUUGUAUGUGAAAGUACCAUACUAAGCACAAAUUAGUUUCUCACAUAUUCCAUGAUGGUACUACUGUCCCAUUGUAAGGAGGCAUGCUCUGACAAGUGUUUCGGUAACACAGGAUGUGGGAUGUUUAUGUGUUCUUGUCCCUCAGUGUGUAUGUGUGGUCCAUGGAUAUACUUGUAGCUAUAUGAAUUCAGUCGGCCUUUAAUAGUGUCCUCCCCUGAGAAAACUGUCCAGAAUAAAGCCACACAAUCUAUAGGUCACACUUGGUUGUACUGUUUUUGAGGUAUCAGCAUCAAACAGCAUUGUCAUCUCACUUUACAUGUCUCUGGAAGCUAAUCAAAAUCUAAAGGAAAAUUGACCUUUUGUAACUAAAAGACCACAAACAAACUAUACAUUUAAAUUGUAAACUUAGUUUGCAAAUUACCUAUCCCUAAGCUAUCAGAUAUACCAUUUUCUUAGUAUUUCAUGUCAAUUUAAAGAAUUGGACUUCUGGCAAAGCUUAAUAAUCAUUAACUUCUUUCUGUCUUACAGAGCAAUUCCAGGCAGUAUAUAGCAAGCUCUUACACAGCCUUCAGACAUACUCUUGGGUAUUACCUCAGAGAGGCAACCUCGUCCCCCCGCCAUUUCACAUACACAGAAAAUUGAUAGCUCCCGUUUCUGUUUUAUCAGCCCUGUAGUCGUUUCAUUAUUGCUUAUGUGGCCUCAUAAUUGUGAUUAUUUUCUUCCUUAUUUCUCUAAGAUUAGCCUGUAAGCCUAAAAGGCUUGAGCCCAGGCGGUAUCUUAACUUAUUUGGUGACUAAUGUAGUAAAUAGAGCCAGUGACUUCACAUAGCACUCAGUAUUAUGUUAGUUCCCUUCCUUACUAUGGAAUACAUUGAUACCAAUAUUAGUAUGACUACUCAAAACAACUUACUUUUUAGAUAGCCAGAGUUAGACCUUACUUUUCAGUGGAAUUCUCCUAGUCUCAAUUAAGUCAAAUCUAUUUCCAGAUUACCAAUAUCACAUUUUCAUUGAAGGAUCAGAUGGAAAGAGAAAUGAAAAACAUGAAAUAGUUCUUGCCAGGCACUUAUUUUGACAUCACCACUGCCCCCACCAAAAAAAAAAAAAAAAAAAAAAAAAAAA
rnacentral:lncRNA from 1 species